AUCAUUUCCAGGACCAGAUGAAGAGAGAGUUAUCGUACAGAGAGGAGCGGGUGCAGCAACUACAGAUGAUUCCAUCCAGAAACAACAUCCGGAAAGAAAAGAUCACAUCACAUCUUAACAGCUAAAUGGGAACUUGGAAGACAUUCCGGAACAUCUGAAGGAGAAACUAAGGUCCUAUGAACCUCAGGAG